rnacentral:rRNA from 1 species
CCUACGGGUGGCAGCAGUGAGGAAUAUUGGUCAAUGGCCGGGAGGCUGAACCAGCCAAGUCGCGUGAGGGAAGACGGCCCUACGGGUUGUAAACCUCUUUUGUCAGGGAGCAAGGUGCAGGUCGGGACCUGCUGUGCGAGUACCUGAAGAAAAAGCAUCGGCUAACUCCGUGCCAGCAGCCGCGGUAAUACGGAGGAUGCGAGCGUUAUCCGGAUUUAUUGGGUUUAAAGGGUGCGUAGGCGGAAUAUCAAGUCAGCGGUAAAAAUUCGGGGCUCAACCCCGUCGUGCCGUUGAAACUGAUGGUCUUGAGUGGGCGAGAAGUAUGCGGAAUGCGUGGUGUAGCGGUGAAAUGCAUAGAUAUCACGCAGAACUCCGAUUGCGAAGGCAGCAUACCGGCGCCCAACUGACGCUGAAGCACGAAAGCGUGGGGAUCGAACAGGAUUAGAUACCCGUGUAGUC